GACCUCGUAGCUCAGUCGACUAGAGUGUUUACUGUACUAAAGCCUGCCCCUUGAUGUCGUGGGUUCGAAUCCCUCCGAGGCCA
rnacentral:tRNA from 1 species